UACGUAGGGUGCGAGCGUUGUCCGGAAUUAUUGGGCGUAAAGAGCUUGUAGGCGGUUUGUCGCGUCUGCCGUGAAAAUCCGGGGCUCAACCCCGGACUUGCGGUGGGUACGGGCAGACUAGAGUGUGGUAGGGGAGACUGGAAUUCCUGGUGUAGCGGUGAAAUGCGCAGAUAUCAGGAGGAACACCGAUGGCGAAGGCAGGUCGCUGGGACGGUACUGACGCUGAGGCGCGAAAGCGUGGGGAGCAAACAGG
rnacentral:rRNA from 1 species